UAAUGGCUCACCAAGGCGACGACGGGUAGCCGGCCUGAGAGGGCGACCGGCCACACUGGGACUGAGACACGGCCCAGACUCCUACGGGAGGCAGCAGUGGGGAAUAUUGCACAAUGGGCGAAAGCCUGAUGCAGCGACGCCGCGUGAGGGAUGACGGCCUUCGGGUUGUAAACCUCUUUCAGCAGGGAAGAAGCGAAAGUGACGGUACCUGCAGAAGAAGCGCCGGCUAACUACGUGCCAGCAGCCGCGGUAAUACGUAGGGCGCAAGCGUUGUCCGGAAUUAUUGGGCGUAAAGAGCUCGUAGGCGGCUUGUCGCGUCGGUUGUGAAAGCCCGGGGCUUAACCCCGGGUCUGCAGUCGAUACGGGCAGGCUAGAGUUCGGUAGGGGAGAUCGGAAUUCCUGGUGUAGCGGUGAAAUGCGCAGAUAUCAGGAGGAACACCGGUGGCGAAGGCGGAUCUCUGGGCCGAUACUGACGCUGAGGAGCGAAAGCGUGGGGAGCGAACAGGAUUAAUACCCCUGGUAAUCCACGCCGUAAACGGUGGGCACUAGGUGUGGGCAACAUUCCACGUUGUCCGUGCCGCAGCUAACGCAUUAAGUGCCCCGCCUGGGGAGUACGGCCGCAAGGCUAAACUCAAAGGAAUUGACGGGGGCCCGCACAAGCGGCGGAGCAUGUGGCUUAAUUCGACGCAACGCGAAGAACCUUACCAAGGCUUGACAUACACCGGAAACAUCAGAGAUGUGCCCCCUU
rnacentral:rRNA from 1 species